rnacentral:rRNA from 1 species
UACGUAGGCAGCAAGCGUUGUUCGGAAUUACUGGGCGUAAAGAGUGUGUAGGCGGUGCUCUAAGUUUGGUGUGAAAUCUCCCGGCUCAACUGGGAGGGUGCGCCGAAAACUGGAAUGCUUGAACAUGGGAGAGGAAAGCGGAAUUCCUGGUGUAGUGGUGAAAUGCGUAGAUAUCAGGAGGAACACCUGCGGUGUAGACGGCUUUCUGGACCAUUGUUGACGCUGAGACACGAAAAGCGUGGGGUAGCAAACAGGG